ACGCACGCUGGCGGCGUGCUUCACCCAUGCAAGUCGAACGGAAAGGCCCUGCUUUUGUGGGGUGCUCGAGUGGCGAACGGGUGAGUAACACGUGAGUAACCUGCCCUUGACUUUGGGAUAACUUCAGGAAACUGGGGCUAAUACCGGAUAGGAGCUCCUGCCGCAUGGUGGGGGUUGGAAAGUUUCGGCGGUUGGGGAUGGACUCGCGGCUUAUCAGCUUGUUGGUGGGGUAGUGGCUUACCAAGGCUUUGACGGGUAGCCGGCCUGAGAGGGUGACCGGCCACAUUGGGACUGAGAUACGGCCCAGACUCCUACGGGAGGCAGCAGUGGGGAAUAUUGCACAAUGGGCGGAAGCCUGAUGCAGCAACGCCGCGUGCGGGAUGACGGCCUUCGGGUUGUAAACCGCUUUCGCCUGUGACGAAGCGUGAGUGACGGUAAUGGGUAAAGAAGCACCGGCUAACUACGUG
rnacentral:rRNA from 1 species